rnacentral:rRNA from 1 species
AUACGGAGGGGACAAGCGUUAUUCGGAAUCGCUGGGCGUAAAGGACGCGUAGGCGGGUUAUUAAGUCGGGUGUGAAAUCCAAUGGCUCAACCAUUGAACUGCAUUCGAAACUGAUAACCUAGAGUAUGGAAGGGGCAGGUGGAAUUAGUGGUGUAGGGGUAAAAUCCGUAGAUAUCACUAGGAAUACCGAAAGCGAAGGCGACCUGCUGGGACAUUACUGACGCUGAGGCGUGAAAGCGUGGGGAGCAAACAGGAUUAGAAACCCCAGUAGUCC